rnacentral:tRNA from 1 species
GGGGAAAUAAUAUAAUGGUAGUAUUCUGUGUUUGCAUCACAGCCGUUAGGGUUCGAUUCCCUAUUUCUCCA